UACGUAGGGUGCAAGCGUUGUCCGGAAUUAUUGGGCGUAAAGAGCUCGUAGGCGGUCUGUCGCGUCGGCUGUCAAAACCCGGAGCUCAACUCCGGGCCUGCAGUCGAUACGGGCAAACUGGAGUGUUGCAGGGGAGACUGGAAUUCCUGGUGUAGCGGUGAAAUGCGCAGAUAUCAGGAGGAACACCGGUGGCGAAGGCGGGUCUCUGGGCAACAACUGACGCUGAGGAGCGAAAGCGUGGGGAGCGAACAGG
rnacentral:rRNA from 1 species